CAGCAGCCACGGGAAUACGAAGGGGGCUAGCGUUACUCGGAAUUACUGGGCGUAAAGGGCGCGUAGGCGGCGCUCCAAGUUAGGCGUGAAAGUCCUGGGCUCAACCUGGGAACUGCGCUUAAGACUGGAGUGCUUGAGGAUGGAAGAGGGUUGUGGAAUUCCCAGUGUAGAGGUGAAAUUCGUAGAUAUUGGGAAGAACACCGGUGGCGAAGGCGGCAACCUGGUCCAUUACUGACGCUGAGGCGCGACAGCGUGGGGAGCAAACAGGAUUAGAUACCCCAGUAGUCCCUGUCUCUUAUAC
rnacentral:rRNA from 1 species